UACGUAGGGUGCAAGCGUUAAUCGGAAUUACUGGGCGUAAAGCGUGCGCAGGCGGCUUCGCAAGACAGAUGUGAAAUCCCCGGGCUUAACCUGGGAACUGCAUUUGUGACUGGCAAGCUAGAGUAUGGCAGAGGGGGGUAGAAUUCCACGUGUAGCAGUGAAAUGCGUAGAGAUGUGGAGGAAUACCGAUGGCGAAGGCAGCCCCCUGGGCCAAUACUGACGCUCAUGCACGAAAGCGUGGGGAGCAAACAGG
rnacentral:rRNA from 1 species